rnacentral:tRNA from 1 species
GCAGUCGUAGCCUACUGGUUAGGGCUUCGGGCUUGGAACCGAAGGGUUGCCGGUUUGAUUCCAGACCAGUGGG